rnacentral:rRNA from 1 species
CCUACGGGUGACUGCAGUAGGGGAUAUUGCUCAAUGGGGGGAACCCUGAAGCAGCGACGCCGCGUGGAGGAAGAAGGGUCUCGGAGUGUAAACCCCUUUUGGUAGAGAAGAUAAUGACGGUAUCUGACGAAUAAGCACCGGCUAACUCCGUGCCAGCAGCCGCGGUAAUACGGAGGGGGCAAGCGUUACCCGGAAUCACUGGGCGUAAAGAGCGCGCAGGCGGGAUAGCAAGUCAGAAGUGAAAUCCCGGGGCUCAACCCUAGAACUGCAUUUGAAACUGGUUGGCUAGAGUAUGGGAGAGGUAGGUGGAAUUCUUGGUGUAGGGGUAAAAUCCGUAGAGAUCAAGAGGAAUACUCAUUGCGAAGGCGACCUGCUAGAACAUAACUGACGUUGAUGCGCGAAAGCGUGGGGAGCAAACAGGAUUAGAUACCCGGGUAGUC